rnacentral:rRNA from 1 species
UACGGGGGGGGCAAGCGUUGUUCGGAAUUACUGGGCGUAAAGGGCUCGUAGGCGGCCAACUAAGUCAGACGUGAAAUCCCCAGGCUCAACCUGGGAACUGCGUCUGAUACUGGAUGGCUUGAAUCCGGGAGAGGGAUGCAGAAUUCCAGGUGUAGCGGUGAAAUGCGUAGAUAUCUGGAGGAAUAUCGGUGGCGAAGGCGGCAUCCUGGACCGGCAUUGACGCUGAGGAGCGAAAGCCAGGGGAGCAAACAGG